UCGACGGGCAGCGAGGAGACAAUCCCGGGUGGCGGGGGGGCGAACGGGUGAGUUAAUACAUUCGGAAGGGGCCAAUCGUGGGGGGAUAACGCAGCGAAAAGCUGUGCCUAAUACCGCAUUACGAUCUACGGAUGAAAGCAGGGGGAUCGCAAGACCCUUGCGCGAAUGGAGCGGCCGAUGGCAGAUUAGGUAGUUUGGGUGAAGUAAAAGGCUUCCCCAAGCCGUCGAUCCGGUAGCUGGUCUGAGAGGGACGACCCAGCCACACUGGGACUGAGACACGGCCCGGCUCCUACGGGAGGCAGCAGUGGGGAAUUUGGACAAUGGGCGAAAGCCUGAUCCAGCCAUGCCCGCGUGCAGGAUGAAGGCCUUCGGGUUGUAAACUGCUUUUGUACGGAACGAAACGGCCUUUUCUAAUAAAGAGGGCUAAUGACGGUACCGUAAGAAUAAGCACCGGCUAACUACGUGCCAGCAGCCGCGGUAAUACGUAGGGUGCAAGCGUUAAUCGGAAUUACUGGGCGUAAAGCGUGCGCAGGCGGUUAUGUAAGACAGUUGUGAGAUCCCCGGGCUCAACCUGGGAACUGCAUCUGUGACUGCAUAGCUAGAGUACGGUAGAGGGGGAUGGAAUUCCGCGUGUAGCAGUGAAAUGCGUAGAUAUGCGGAGGAACACCGAUGGCGAAGGCAAUCCCCUGGACCUGUACUGACGCUCAUGCACGAAAGCGUGGGGAGCAAACAGG
rnacentral:rRNA from 1 species